CCGGGUGCUUAAUUAACUGGUCUGCCUGCAGUCCAGACCUGUCACCCAUUGAAAACAUUAGGAGCAUUAUGAAACAAAAAACACAACAUAAGAGACCCUGAACUCUUUAGCAGCUGAAAUCCUAUAUCAAGCAAGAAUAGGAAAACAUCUUCCUUUCAUAACUACAUCAAUUGGUGUCCUCAGUUCCCUUACAGAAUAUUGUUAAAAGAGGUGAUGCAACACAGUGGUAAACAGUGGUUGUCACCUCCUACCCACCACACCUUUACUCCAUUUCCUUAAACAGGAAAUCAAAAGAUACAGCAAACAACAUCUAGUUGGAUAAUGAUCAGUCUUAUUUAAUGUGUGGUAUCCACAAAAUACACAGACCAACAUCACUAUUUCUCUAUUGUCAAUGGUGUGUAGCCUGGUUCUGGUUCAUAGCAUGGAGGUUCAGAAACCAACUAACUCAUGUGCUGAUGGAAUAAGGAGUUCCCUCUACAAAGCUCUCCCUGGACAAAUGCCUGACAUGGACCUUCUCCACGUCUCAGAAACAUAUGCUAACUUUACUCCACUAACUGCCCCUCAUGUGACAACUGUGGACAUGCCAGCCAACAUUCCCCUGAUUAGGUCUGCCUUUGGACCAAUGCAAGCUGGCAGUGUCUUAACAACCUCAAAAACACAUUAAAUUGUGAAGAUACCUGAUGCCCCUUCUACUUCAACACUUCCAUUAGAUGGCAUGCUAGCUUCCAUCUUCUCGGUGUGUGUACAUCUUUAUUCAUCAAGAGCAGCUCCAUGACUAAGCAUUAGAGACAACCUACAAGAUGUCACAUAAAAUCGAGGAUGGUACAAGGGAGCAGAGCAGCAUCACAGAAUGGCAUCAGCUCAUGUUUUCCAGAGGUUUGCCAUGUACCAGGGGAGACAUCCACUGACCACCUAGUGGAACAGAUGUCCAAGGGUUCUAGUAUGCAGACCAUGGAGAUGAAAAGGUGGCUGCACAUUGAACAUUUUUUACUUCUUCCAAUGUGGCUUUGUAGUCCACCAAGAUGACCCAUGGUUAGGAUCGCCUCCAGGUGGCAUCCUAUUUGUAAGUUCCCACUUUGGUGUCUUGGAGGCUAAGUGGGCAAGUGUACAAAGUUAUGUGCCUUACCUGAAAAUACAGAAUGGAGAGCUUAAGUUGAAGAGACCACAUGUGCAAGGUGCAAGGUCAAAUCUUUCUAACAGGUUGUAGCUGAUGUGACUUUGUCAUCUGUGCUCAGGAG
ensembl:lncRNA